rnacentral:rRNA from 1 species
UACGUAGGGUGCAAGCGUUAAUCGGAAUUACUAGGCGUAAAGCGUGCGCAGGCGGUGAUGUAAGACAGGUGUGAAAUCCCCGGGCUUAACCUGGGAACUGCAUUUGUGACUGCAUCGCUGGAGUGCGGCAGAGGGGGAUGGAAUUCCGCGUGUAGCAGUGAAAUGCGUAGAUAUCUGGAGGAACACCGGUGGCGAAGGCGACGUCCUGGACCGGUAUUGACGCUGAGGCGCGAAAGCCAGGGGAGCAAACGGG